GAUGAACGCUGACAGAAUGCUUAACACAUGCAAGUCUUUGGCGAAGCUGUGCUCGCACAGCCUAGCCAAGGCGGACGGGUGAGUAACGCGUAAGGAACUUGCCCUGCAGUCAGGGAUAACAGACGGAAACGACUGAUAAGACCUGGUAAAGUCAGGCGGACUCAUGUCCAGCCUGAUGAAAAGAGAUGCUGCAGGAGAGCCUUGCGUCCUAUUAGCUUGUUGGUGGGGUAACGGCCCACCAAGGCGAUGAUAGGUAGCCGGCCGGAGAGGGUGGACGGCCACAAGGGGACUGAGAUACGGCCCUUACUCCUACGGGAGGCAGCAGUGGGGAAUAUUGGACAAUGGGGGCAACCCUGAUCCAGCAAUUCUGUGUGCACGAUGAAGGUUUUCGGAUUGUAAAGUGCUUUCAGCAGGGAAGAAAAAAAUGACGGUACCUGCAGAAGAAGCGACGGCUAAAUACGUG
rnacentral:rRNA from 1 species